AACAGUUAUAGCGCCAGUACUAAGGAAAUCAAUGCCACACAGCCUUAGUAGACGAGGUGGAGGAGUAUCGAAAGAAUCGGCGGAUGCCUCCCAAUCGAAUUGCCCGAUUGAUGUUUAUCUUUAAAACACGGAAGUGAUUUCGUGGACAAAGAGAUA
rnacentral:ncRNA from 1 species